CCGUGCAGCUGGGGCGGUAGCGGUGCCCUGUACCAUCAAUCCGCUAUAGAUGGAGUGAUAUUCUGCCUCGGAUUAUAAGUGUGAAGCUGCCCUUUUCAAGUGGUGUUGACGUCUGGGUCUUACGCAACGAAAAUCUACGAAUCGUGUCAGGUUGGGAACAAAGCAGCACUAAGAAGAAUCUUUUGUGUGCCGUA
rnacentral:SRP_RNA from 1 species